GACGUAGGGCGCGAGCGUUGUCCGGAUUUAUUGGGCGUAAAGAGCUCGUAGGCGGCUUGUCGCGUCGUCCGUGAAAACCUGCGGCUCAACUGCAGGCUGGCGGUCGAUACGGGCAGGCUGGAGUUCGGUAGGGGAGACUGGAAUUCCUGGUGUAGCGGUGAAAUGCGCAGAUAUCAGGAGGAACACCAAUAGCGAAGGCAGCUCGCUGGGACGGUACUGACGCUAAGGCGCGAAAGCGUGGGGAGCGAACAGG
rnacentral:rRNA from 1 species